rnacentral:rRNA from 1 species
AGAUUGAACGCUGGCGGCAUGCCUUACACAUGCAAGUCGAACGGUAACGCGGGGCAACCUGGCGACGAGUGGCGAACGGGUGAGUAAUGCAUCGGAACGUGCCCAGUAGUGGGGGAUAGCCCGGCGAAAGCCGGAUUAAUACCGCAUACGACCUAUGGGUGAAAGCGGGGGACUCGCAAGAGCCUCGCGCUAUUGGAGCGGCCGAUGUCAGAUUAGCUAGUUGGUAGGGGUAAAAGCCUACCAAGGCGACGAUCUGUAGCUGGUCUGAGAGGACGACCAGCCACACUGGGACUGAGACACGGCCCAGACUCCUACGGG